rnacentral:pre_miRNA from 1 species
GGGGACAGGGAUUGGUGUGGGGGUCUCAUUUCUACCACCUCACACCUUGACCUGUCAACCUU